UCGAAUCCUGCGAUAGUAGAAUGACCCGCUAACACGUAAAAGCACCAGGCAAGCGUUGGUGGCCUUGUGUCCCCCGCUUGCGAACCCAAGGUAGGUGGCCCCUCUCGGGUGUCCGCCGGCCUACGAAAUCAACCGGGCGCGGAAUGCGCCAAGGAAAUCAAUACUGAAUUUGUACGUUCGCUUCUCGUUCGCGGGCAGUGGCGUCAUUCUGAAACACAAAUGACUCUCGGCAACGGAUAUCCCGGCUCUCGCAUCGAUGAAGAACGUAGCGAAAUGCGAUACUUGGUGUGAAUUGCAGAAUCCCGUGAACCAUCGAGUCUUUGAACGCAAGUUGUGCCUGAAGCCAUUAGGCUGAGGGCACGUCUGCCUGGGUGUCACGCAUCGUGUUGCCCCCGACCACAUACUUCUUUUGGAGAUGUGCCGGUUCGGGGGCGGAUACUGGCCUCCCGUGCCCUGUUGCGCGGCUGGCGCAAAAUUAAUCUCUGGUGAUGGACGUCGCGACAUCGGUGGUUGUAAGAAGACCCUCCUAGUCUUGUCGCGUGAAUGCCCAUCACCUUAGUCGAGGACCCAUAGGCUUCACAACCUGUGUUUGCUUCGA
rnacentral:rRNA from 1 species